GUGCGGGCUACUGCAAUAGGGUGUGAGCCCUGAGCUGUGUUGUGAUUGGCUGAUAUCAUUCCACGCCCACAUCCCCAGACCUCCUAUCGGUUUACAGUAAGUUAAAAAGUACCUGCAAAAGCAAAUCAUACCUUUGACUUUAUUUAUACCACCCUCUGGCAUGGUGUCUCCACUCGACUGGAAUCAUGCAGCACCCAGACACAAACACCCUUGCAGUUGAAAAUGUGUUCUAUUUUCUAUGAAAACAUUAAAAGAAAACAAGAAGGUUUUGGUUUUGUCACAUUUUUUUCAUGGGAUUUUUUGGUUUUCAUUAAAAAAAAGCAGAACUCCAAAAGUCGUUCCUGGGUGUUGAAAACUGAAAAAUUGUCAGUGUUCAGAUUUUUCAAUUCAAAGCCAAAAAAAUUAAACAAAAACAUUCAUUUUGUUAUGAAAAUUUGCUGUUUCAUCACAAAGUCCUUUUUUGGAAAUAAAAGUUGAUAUAGUUUUUAUAACCUGCUCUCUUUAUUCUAAACUGAUGUUCUGACAAGAAUGAGGCCACCCAACAUUUAUUCACAUCCUUUGAUUUGCACUAAAUCUGGUCCCAAACUUUCUUCAACCAUUUAUAAUCUUCAUUCCACAUGACACCAAUGUCUCCAGGUGCUAUUCCCUUUGAGUGGCUGCGUUGCUAGCAUCCGCAUCAAUUUGUUCUUUGCUCGUGCCUUUGUCACAGAUAGCCAGUGCUACCUGGAAGCUCCCAGCCCAUGCUAGUAUACAGGCUUUUACCCCAAGAUAAGGGGUGAUGAAGGACGAACUUUUUAAAAAUACACAGCAAAUGCAGGAGGCAACAUCUCUUUGUGCCAGGUACCAGAAGAUGGUGGGCAUUCCAUUGCGAGUGGAAGCUGGAGCAGCUCCUUUGUGUCAAUGGAGCUGUGGUAGAUUGCACCGGCACUGAAUGUGGUCCCUGCACUUCUACCACUGAGGUAUGAUACAACCUUGGACAAAUCACUGCAUUUCUGCACAAGGGGGAUAACAUCUGGAAUCAUGUGAUCUUCUGUUCCUCCAAGACCACACACUGCAGCGUCAACUCUGCCUUCCGUCAGCCCGCUUUACUGAACAGUCCCUUCCCAGCACCACACACCUACUGCUCAGAGGGGUUAGUAGAGGGUUGUUUGGAAAUGAGCUAUACGCAGCCACUGGGUGCCCUGGUCAGACAACAACGACUCCUGCAGCAAUAUGCAGAUGGCACACAGCUUUACCCACUCUUCAUCAUAUAUGUCCACACCACUACUACCAAGAUGGCCCCGUGCUUGGAAGAGAUCAGCUCAUGCAUGAAGUACAGUUGACUGAACCCGAACAAGACAGAGGUGAUGUUGAUGGGCAGAGGAAAGUAUUUUGAUAUUGAAAUAUCAGAAUUUCCUGGGAGAUGGCAAGUGACAUUUUUGCUCAGCUGUUACUUCUGUGCCUUCAGUACACAGCCUGGAGCUCUGGAGCGUUGAAGCCAACCACUUCUCAUUGCUGGAGCAAACCAAAGUGCUUCUUUCUGAACCCACUGCAGCUCUGCGGCGCUCAGACUUCCAGCACAUGUGGAAAUCAUCAUGUUCGAGGGAACACUCUGACUGACUUCUGGUGGAAUUCUUCUUGAGAAGGAGUACAGGAUAAGACUCUGGAACAGAUGUUUUAAGUAUCUGAGAGGAAUUGAAGAAGAAAAGUGCAGAUACUCAAGGGUGAGCUACAUCUUGGGCUGAAUUUGAGCAGGUUGCAGUUUUUUGAUUGUGAAUAACCAUUAAAAUUUUCAAAAUAUAUCCGUGAAAACAUUUACUUCUUUUGACCAGCUCUAGGGUGAAUGAUUGCGUAGGGUAGAUCUAGUCCAAGCAUUGAGAGAGGAAAGGGG